rnacentral:rRNA from 1 species
UACAGAGGGUGCAAGCGUUAAUCGGAGUUACUGGGCGUAAAGGGCGCGUAGGCGGUUUUGUAAGUUGGAUGUGAAAUCCCUGGGCUUAACCUAGGAACUGCAUUCAAUACUGUAAGACUAGAAUAUUGUAGAGGGUAGUGGAAUUUCCGGUGUAGCGGUGAAAUGCGUAGAGAUCGGAAGGAACACCAGUGGCGAAGGCGGCUACCUGGACAAAUAUUGACGCUGAGGCGCGAAAGCGUGGGGAGCAAACAGG